GUGUGAAAGAACCUUUAAAUCAAUUCCAACUUUUUCUUGGUGCGUUAUUUUUUUUCAAUGAUUGUUUGUAUAACUAUGUCUGCGUGUGUGAGAAUAUUUCCAAAAUUUAUUUCAUUGACUGCAAUAUGCAGUAGCAUAUUGGCGUUUCUUUUCUUCUUGCUCGGGCUAAUGUACAUAAGUCAUGCACUGAAAAAGACAA